CAGGGAUUGGAGGAUAGAAGCAGCCAAGCCCUCAGUGAAUAGAAGCCCAGUCUACCGCAUCCAACCGCCCCCCAGCACCUCACAAGCCCUGUGGCUCCUCUGCUCUUAUCGCCAUUCACCAAAACCUAUCUCACUUGACUUAUUUAACGCUUAUGUUUAGGAUGCUGGCACGUCUAAGAACAUGCUUCCUCCUUUCCCCACAAGUCUUUGAUGGCUUUUUUUAAAGUACUCGUUUCGGCUUGAAUAAAUAGUUGUUCAAAGCAGGAAAAGAAAGGGGAAAAGAUGGCGACCAGAGUUCUGGAUCUCUCCAUCUCCCAGGAGGCCAUCUUACCCCCAGAGACUUUAUGUACACUGUUAAAUAUGAGAGAGCGAUGAUUCUCUCAUCUGAUGAAUUAAAUGUCAACUCUGAUACUCCCGUUGGCAAGAAGAAUCUUGUCAACAACUUUGGAUUCCUGAGCUGUUCUCAAGCAUUUGUCUUCAGAGUUACUAGGCUAAUACUUGGAGACUACUUCAACACAUGACAUCAUUAUCACGGUAGCCAGGCGCAACAGGCGAAACCAGAGGACACAGCACAGUGGCGAGGUCUAUAAGGAAAGCCAACAACACAAGGAAAGUAGAUGCACGUGCAGCUUCAGGAUGGACAGACAUGGAGUGGUAGAGACCCACCUAGCCAGGCAGAUCAAUGGAACCAACCCUGUGCUCAUCGGAUUGAGAGAUGUCACAGCUAUAGUCAGGAGUUCUGGGAGCAGAGCUACCAUCUAGAAACAAGGCAGCAAUCAGCCACAAACCACCAUGGCAUCUCAUGACUUCCCUGGUGCUUAGAUGUUCAUUUGCUGGGGAUUUGGGGAUUUUCUGGUGCUAAAAGAAAUGUUUCCCUUUUCUUUGAAGGAGACUCUAACUUAAUAAAUAAAAUAUUUAAAUAUU